GUCGAGCGGUAAGGCCUUUCGGGGUACACGAGCGGCGAACGGGUGAGUAACACGUGGGUGAUCUGCCCUGCACUCUGGGAUAAGCCCGGGAAACUGGGUCUAAUACCGGAUAUGACCGCAUGCUGCAUGGUGUGUGGUGGAAAGAUUUAUCGGUGCAGGAUGGGCCCGCGGCCUAUCAGCUUGUUGGUGGGGUAAUGGCCUACCAAGGCGACGACGGGUAGCCGACCUGAGAGGGUGACCGGCCACACUGGGACUGAGACACGGCCCAGACUCCUACGGGAGGCAGCAGUGGGGAAUAUUGCACAAUGGGCGGAAGCCUGAUGCAGCGACGCCGCGUGAGGGAUGAAGGCCUUCGGGUUGUAAACCUCUUUCAGCAGGGACGAAGCGUGAGUGACGGUACCUGCAGAAGAAGCACCGGCUAACUACGUGCCAGCAGCCGCGGUAAUACGUAGGGUGCGAGCGUUGUCCGGAAUUACUGGGCGUAAAGAGUUCGUAGGCGGUUUGUCGCGUCGUUUGUGAAAACCCGGGGCUCAACUUCGGGCUUGCAAGCGAUACGGGCAGACUUGAGUGUUUCAGGGGAGACUGGAAUUCCUGGUGUAGCGGUGAAAUGCGCAGAUAUCAGGAGGAACACCGGUGGCGAAGGCGGGUCUCUGGGAAACAACUGACGCUGAGGAACGAAAGCGUGUGUAGCAAACAGGAUUAGAUACCCUGGUAGUCCACGCCGUAAACGGUGGGCGCUAGGUGUGGG
rnacentral:rRNA from 1 species